rnacentral:rRNA from 1 species
UACGUAAGGAGCGAGCGUUGUCCGGAUUCACUGGGCGUAAAGCGCUCGUAGGCGGCUUCCUAAGUCUCACGUGAAAGCCCCCGGCUCAACCGGGGAGGGUCGUGGGAAACUGGGGAGCUCGAGGGCAGGAGAGGAGAGUGGAAUUCCCGGUGUAGCGGUGAAAUGCGUAGAUAUCGGGGGGAACACCAGUGGCGAAGGCGGCUCUCUGGUCUGUCCCUGACGCUGAGGAGCGAAAGCCAGGGGAGCGAACCGG